AUUGAACGCUGGCGGCAGGCCUAACACAUGCAAGUCGAACGGUAACAGGAAGAAGCUUGCUUCUUUGCUGACGAGUGGCGGACGGGUGAGUAAUGUCUGGGAAACUGCCUGAUGGAGGGGGAUAACUACUGGAAACGGUAGCUAAUACCGCAUAACGUCGCAAAGACCAAAAGAGGGGGACCUUUCGGGGCCUCUUGCCAUCGGAUGUGCCCAGAUGGGAUUAGCUAGUAGGUGGGGUAACGGCUCACCUAGGCGACGAUCCCUAGCUGGUCUGAGAGGAUGACCAGCCACACUGGAACUGAGACACGGUCCAGACUCUACGGAGGCAGCAGUGGGG
rnacentral:rRNA from 1 species